AAGUUAAGCAGCCAUCAUGCUCCACUGAGGAAGUGAGGGUGACUGGAGCCAAGAGAUGUGGAGGGAGAAACUGGUUCCAGGAAACACCCUCUAUUCCCUGUCGCUUCAUGCUGCGAGUUACAGGGGUUAUUCAAAAGCACACUGGAGAAAGCAGGAAGAGCGCCACCUACAGCUUGGGUAGGCUCCAUUUCGAGGAUGGAAUCAAUCCACUGUGGCUCCGAGGCCUGCCUCCUGCUUGCGACAGUUAAAUGCCUUCGGUUUUUGAGUUAUUUAAAGAACAUACCAUUUUAUGGGCAGGAGGAAGCACUUUAAUCUGCAAAAUGAUUUUUAUCACAAACUAAACAUCCUUGUAACUUUUUGGUCCUCUGCUUUGGUCAAAGUUGUCUCUCCUUGGAGCUCAGACAGCUGUUGGAGCUCAGAAGAUCUGCCUCCACCCUGCACUUUGCCCUGCUCGCUGGUACUCUGGUGCUCUCCAAUUCCUGGAUCCAUGUGGGAUGUAAGAACUCAGGAUCAGGACGCCUGCACGCAUCAAAAUGGGGCAUUUUCUUUCUCUUUAUCCCAGGACUUGAGAGAAAGCAAAAAACAAACAAACACAAACAAAAAAAAAAAAAAAAAAAACAAGAAUUCCUCUAAUUUAAGGUUUUUAACCUUGACACUUGAAGUUUUGGGCCAGACAAUUAUUUGUCAUCAGGACUGCUUUGUGCAAUGUAGGAUAUUCCUGGCCUCUACCCACUAGAUGACCCAUUAGCACCCCUCAUUUGGGACAACCAAAAAUGUCCGUGGACAUUGACAAAUAACCAGGGAUGGGGGCCAAGAUCCCCCCUCAUUCCCCAGCUCCCCAUUUCCUGGUUAAAAACCACUGCUGACAGCAUCUUUAAAAACAUAAUUCCUUGUAGUAUUAUGUUGUGAGACUGAGAGAACCACCACCCUCCUUAGAACUUUACAAAAGCCAUAUAAAAUAUCCCCUGAGGAGAACUGACUUAAAGAAACUUCAAGAUAGCAGCCUGCGCAACAUAGUGAAAUCCCAUCUCUACGGAAAAACACACACACACACACACACACACACACACACACACACACACAAAGUAGCCAGGCAUGGUGGCACGAACCUGUAGUACCAACUAUCCGGAAGGCUGAGGCUGAGGUGGGAGGAUUCCUUGAGCCUCGGAGGUCAAGGCUGCAGUGAGCCCUGAUGGUGCCACUGCACUCCAGCUUGGCCGACAGAACGAGACCUUGACUCCAAAAUAGCAAUACUACUGUCUGUCAGGGCUAUGAAGCCACAUGAGACUUGACCCAUUAAGGACAAGAGUGAAGAAAAAUGUAUCAAAUAGAAAUAAUUUUAUCUAAACACUGGCAAGAGGAAAAAGACAUGGAGGAGAAACUUAGAAAUGAAAAGCAGUGAGGCAUCUAUAUGGUGAGUUCCAGCAUGGGUGCUCAGCUUCUCACUUUCACAAGUAAGAAAAUGGAACUUUAAGGUUAUUGCUGGGUUUCCGGGAUUCAAAACCCAAAGCUAAAAAUGUGGAAGAGGUUGGUGUUAUCAGAAAUGAUCUUUCCAGUAAACGCCUAAAACUCACUCACUCUGCAGAAAAAGCCAAAAAUGGUAAAGCUUCACUUAUUUGGACAAAUGUGGGAGAAGUCAUUUAAAAUAAGCAAAAUUGAUGGAUUUAUAGAAUAUUUUUCAAGGGAAGGCAUUUACUUGCUUUCAAAUGCCAGCAGUAAUUAAGAGUGAGCUGGCAGAGGUCCCUCCUUCAGGAUUGGUUUGAAUGAGAAGACAGAAUUUAUUGAACUAAUUUAAGCAUUGUUAGGCUGGGAAGGAGGGCUUUGAGUUAGAUUGUCCUCUCCGUGAGCUAAUUAGUUGUAUCUACACACAGGCAGCUGGCUGAGACCAGCCCAGGAAUUCCAGAAUAGUGGGGUUCCAAUGAGGCUUUGCUUCCAGGCACAGACAUCUGUGCACCUUGAGGUAUUGAUCAAGUCAGUCAGGAGAAGCAGGCUGGCUUGUGUGUGAAGGCUGGGCUGUUUGGGGGCCUCACUGUGUGAAAAGAUUUGGAUUCUAGCAGUUUCUUUCUCUACAAGAUCUAAUGUCUGGAGAGAUGGAGAGGCCUAUUAGGGGAGUUCAGAUGACUGGAGCUGGGACAUCACUGCUUCUUCAGGUCCCAGGCAGCCUCCCCUCCAGCUAUCAGCAUGUCUCGGCUAUCCCAUGCUGUCCCCUCAAUCUCCAACUGCCCUCCUUUCUCUCCAUCACCAGAGAAAUGUGACUGCCUAGGGAGCAACCAUGUCUUGAAAGGAGAAAGAGCAAGAAUAAAGGUGUCUCUGAGGGGCCUUGCUUCUCUUCCCCUAGUUCUUUUAGGCAUUUUGUUUUGUUUCAUUUGGAUAAGAGCUAACAUUUAGAACAAUAAUAGAAAAUAGAAGUACUUGUCUGGAGGGUCUAGCAGAGGUCCACAGUGACUCUUAUGAGCUGUAUAAAGGACUGUCCCUUCUGGAGUCUAGUAAUCAAAUCUGGAGGAGUAGUCCUCAAAUCUUGUUAGAGAAUGAAGUUCUCAGGGUACACUCUUCCUGGCUAAGCAAUCCCAUCCCAGCCCCUCUCUACUGAAAUCAUUCAUCCUGGUCAAGUGUGUUUCUCAGAAUACCUGGGUAUGUCAACAGAGAUAAAAGAGAAGUGCAGCACACUUCCUAGUUUCAGCUGGCACUAAAACAAGAGAAUGAGUUGUGCGUUUUUUGGUGGAGGUGCCUCCUGAUCGAGUCUACACACUGGCUUGUGAACAUGUUGUCUGUACUGAAGAACUUAUCCCAAAAAGGUGGCUCCACUUACACCAUAGACAAGUACUGUCCUUCCCAUGUCCUUUCAGCAUGAACUGAGAGAGGGGCAGUCUCAAAGUGGCAGGUGUCACAAGAGGUCACUCUCAUAAUCAACAACUGAAGACUUCCCAAAACAGCAACUCCUUGCUUUUGCCCCAGUUUUUCCGAGGCAAAAUUUACAUACCAUCAAGGUCAUCCAUGGUAAGUGUAAAGUUCAACGAUUUUAAGUAAACUUAUAGAAUUGUGCGAUCAGCACCACAAACCAGUUUUAGAAUGUAUCUACUAUCUCCAAAAGACCCUGCAACUGUUACAGUAAACUUCCCUUAAUUUUUGCAGCAAAUGUUCUAGAGUUGAAAAGAAAGCUCUUUCUACAUCUGCAAGGCUGAUUCAUUUUUCUCCCUUCCAAGAACUCUACUAAAAAAAUUAUUUGUUGCUUAUCUGAAAUGCAAAUGUAACUGGAUGUCCUGUAUUUGUGAAAUUCCGGCAACCCUAAUCCAGGACCAAAGCAGAAUUAACCAAAUAAAUGAAAGUGCAUGUCUAGAAAUAAAUGUACUUUUCUGGA
rnacentral:lncRNA from 1 species